UCUGUUUUGCAGCAUUGCUCAGGGAACCACUGGACUUUGUAUCUGUGGAAGAAGGGGGAAGAGACCGCUGACUGCAUUUCUGUCCCUGUGCUGAAAAGGAUGCUAUGUCAGAGAACCAUUCCAGCAAACUUCAAAGGGUUGAACUCACGCAGAGAGGGAACUGGAGACUGCUGACUGUGGUGUGUAAAGUCAUCGACUGAAGAGGACCAAGGAGCUUAUCUGAAGGAGGUUUCAUAGAAGAAAUACGUGAAUUCUUAUUUUAAAAAAAUUACCAAGACACUGAAGGAGCCAAGAACCCCAGGGGAGUAAACCUGCUGGCGAGUCUACACUAUGAAGACCCAGCUUCUCCGGCAGGCAGCCCACAAGGAAAGCCACUUGCUCCCCGGACCGCCCCAAGCACAGACGUUAAGAGUGUGGGGUGAGACCCACCCUACUGGCUCUAAUGAUCGACCACACUUACAGAGAAUUCAUUUUCUGGGGAGAAAGCACAGCUGUAGGACAGGCAGAUUCAGGACUGGACAUUCAAGUGGGCAUCUCCUUAGGCUAGGAGAUUAAGGAUCUUCCACUCUGCAUCCAGGUAGGACAGAUGUGUGUCCACCCUGGGCUGGCUAGUCCUCUGGUGGCCCUACAAGCAGACAUUUUCCCCAUAACCAUCCAGCUUUUAUCUGGAAGGGAUGUUGCAACCUUCUGCUGUUUCUGAGGCGGCAUGAAUGGUGGUCUUCCAGAGUGGGCGUGGGACGAUUGGCAGGACAGCUAUGGCGCCCCUGGUACCAUAGCCCUUGGGCAUUGGCCAGCCCACCUUUUCCCCCAGCUCUGCCUGCCUUCCAUCUACCCAGGAAGGGCAGCCAGUGCCAGAAUGAGCAGGGACUCGAGGUCCAGAGAGCUGGGUGGGGCCGAUGGGGGUGGAAGGAAGUAAAGGAAGUCUUUACUUUAUCACCUGCAGAAAGGUGUAUCGGAGAAGCCCCUGCUGUGCUGGGCUGCACGAAUACAUGGAAAUUGCCCAAAUGCCCGGCCCCUACUGGGACUGAGUCACACGGUUUCCAGAGCACAGACAAAACAGGAAAAUGCUCAUGGGAAGGUAACUUCCUCAAGGGCAGGGAUAUUGGUCUGUUUUGUUCACUGCUGUCUGUCCAGUGUCUACAACAAUGCCUGGCACAGAGUGGGCAUCCGAUGAAUAAAUUCAUCCAGGAGUGCAUGAAUGAAUGAAUGAAUGGAACUUGCUAGUAAUCAAAGAAAUACACAUUACAACAAUGAUGUGGCAUUGUUUUGUAUAUUAAUCUGCCCCAAAGUAACAUAAUGAAAAACACUCAAUCCUGGUGAAAUCUGAUGGGAUCUGCCAUGUAUCUAGUAUUAACGGCAAUAUGUAUUAAUAUAAAUCUUUUGGAAAGCAAUUUGGUAACAGAGUUAUUUAAGAAGUUGCUACUCAGUAAUUCCAGUUCUAGAAAUGUAUGUUAAACAGGUAAAUCAGAAGAAGGACAGAGCUGCAUAUAUAAACUAUUCCUUGAAACGUUAUUCAUGACUGUAAAGAGAGGGAGGCAGUCUGAACGGCUAGAACAGUGGACGAGCAGAGAGCUUGUGGUGGUGAUUAAGGCCUGUGAAACGGUGAAGCAAAGUGGCAAGUGAGAAAAAAGCAGGGAUGCAGAAGUGUCCCUCUAAAAUGAGUGUGACCAUAAAAUAUAUUCUGGGGAAAAGCCUGGAAGGAUGGAGAGUGUAUGGAUUUUUUUUCCCUUCUAAUUUUUGUCAUCAAAAUAUUCUUCACCAAAAAGAGAUUAACCAAAUAAGACCUCCCUACAGUACACCAUGCACCAGUAAGCACACAUACGGCGGCUAGCUCAAGGCGCUCACUGCUCACACAGUUCCCAAGACAGAGCGGUCUGCCCACCGCCCGCUCACCCAGCUGAAGUGGGCCCCCAGCCUCCAGGUUUCAAGCCACUGGACAGCAGAGCCAGGGGAGUUUUCUGCCAGAGUUUGCCAUGGGGUCACCCACCUCUGAAUAACAAGCAAGUGCUGCUGUGGGAACAUUAUUUAGCACCAUCUGAUCACAGAACGGAGAACGUUUGCCAGAAAUAACCCUUUGGGCUUUGGCAAAGCAGGUACUGAGUUGCGCUUCCCGAUGGUGGUUAAAUAAGCGUUGUGGCUGCCUUUUGACGGUAAAACUACCCAUGUAUCAAGACGCACUUCCCUUCCUACUGCAGGAGGGCAGUAUCCAGGGCACCUACAAAAGGUAUCAGGUUCCAAAAGUGUAAGAAGGAGGUUACACCUAGGAGAGCCUCUGAUUCUUGCUAAUUCAGCACUAGGUGGUGGUUCUUAACCUCACUGCGAACAGAAACCACCUGGGAGCUUUAAACAUGGACCCCUGGGUCCCUCUCGCAGAGAUUCUGAUUGAAUUGGUUUGGUGAACCAUCCGGGGCAUUGGAAAUUUUAAAAGCUCCAAGAUGGUUUAGAUGAGCAUCCAGGGUUGAGAUCCACUGUCUUAUGGUACAAGCGGCUGACAUCCACACUGAAAACAUUCAGACGGAGUCUGAAUGGGCGCGGUCUCUGUGCAAAGAUCAACAAGAAUCCGUGCCACGUUUUGCAAAGGUUUGCCGUGCGCUCCUAGCCAUCACAGGAAGCAGAGCACAGGGUCAGGAGGCCCAGGGGGUUAAGGCUCUCAGAGGCCAGCAGGCUGGGUGCCAAGUGUGACUCUAUCACUUACUAGCUCUGCAACCUUGGGCAAGUCACUCACCCUCUC